AGAGCGAACGCUGGCGGCAGGCCUAACACAUGCAAGUCGAGCGCCCCGCAAGGGGAGCGGCAGACGGGAGAGUAACACGUGGGAACGUACCCUUCAGUUCGGAACAACCAAGGGAAACUUUGGCUAAUACCGGAUACGUCCGUAAGGAGAAAGAUUUAUCGCUGAGGGAUCGGCCCGCGUCUGAUUAGCUAGUUGGUGAGGUAACGGCUCACCAAGGCGACGAUCAGUAGCUGGUCUGAGAGGAUGAUCAGCCUCACUGGGACUGAGACACGGCCCAGACUCCUACGGGAGGCAGCAGUGGGGAAUAUUGGACAAUGGGCGCAAGCCUGAUCCAGCCAUGCCGCGUGGGUGAUGAAGCUUUUCGGAGUGUAAACCCCUUUCGACCCGGACGAAUGCCCCGCAAGGGGACUGACGGUACGGGUAUAAGAAGCCCCGGCUAACUACGUGCCAGCAGCCGC
rnacentral:rRNA from 1 species